CCCCGAGCCCCUCGCUCGUCCCUCCCUCCCUCGUCCUCACCCGCCGCCGCUCCCUAACCCUAGCCCCAAUCCACAGCCCCGCGCCCCUCGCUCCUCCCUCCCUCGUCCGCGCCCCUCGCUCAUCUCUCCUUCGUCCGCCGCCACUCCCUCCCACCUCCUCCUCCUGCGCCCUAGGAGCCCCGCCGCUAACUGCUACUCCUCCACCGCCUCGCCUCUUCCUCCUCCUCGCCUUCCCAUCGCUCAUGCGCAGGUCGCCCGACGGCAGGGAUGGUCAGGAAGGCUUCCCAGCCCGACUGUGCCGUCAUGGGAGCUGCAGGGAGGAGCAGGAGGAGCAGAAGGGGCCACGGAUGAGGAGGAAGGAGACUAGCAGGAGUAGGAGGAGAUAUUCUUGUUCGAUUUGGUUCUCAUGCUGGCAUCUCCCUGCUGUCUGCUUUCCUUUUGGUUUCCAACUUUGAUGCCUGGAUUUGUUGUCUUGGCCAGCAGGAGUGGGAGGAGACAGGGAGGAUGAGGAAGGAGACAAGCAGGAGGAAGAGAAAAUCUUGCUCGCCUUAUGGACUCGCAAUAAACAGGUCCACAGGAAAAAUUCCUGAACGAUUUUGGUAUCCCCGGAUUUUUCUUCCCCGCGAUGAGAGAUUAGCGAGGAUUUGUGCGGCAGGGAGGGGGCUGGUGAUAGGAAACAUGGGUCCAAGAAGAAAUCAAAGAGCAUGAUCGUUUCUAGGUCGCUGGUGCUGAAUCAUGUAAGGAUGGCGCAGAACUCACAUGAGGGAAAAGACCGAACUGCGGUAACCAAAUCAACAGCUGAUAAGGCAAUUGGUUGGGCUACAUGAUAGACACUUUAAUAUAUCUUCUUGGAAGCCGCUUAGUGUUCCAAUGAAUAAUUGUCGCUGGUGUGAUGCACGCCUUCAUUGUUUGGUGGGCUGCUUCCUGCCUGGUGUGGUUGAAGAAUUUUCAGAGAUGUAUGUACCAUGAUGAUUGAGGAGGCGUAUGAAAUAAAUCUGAAGAAAUAAGUCGCCUCCAUCAGCGAGGCUGCGAACAACUCUUGGUGCCCCUGUUAACCUCCUCAAUGUGUGCGUUGUUUGCCUGUCGGUCAAAUGCUCACUAUUCAGCAGACAGAUACAGUGUCCAGAUCGUUUAGGAACCAGCAUUACUUCAAAAAAAUAUAGGACCUGAUACACAUUACAUUCAUGGACUACUGAUAUACCUGAUGCAUUUCUUCAUGAUGGAAGCGGAUGCUAUCAAGAUCAUGCCAAAGGCGAUGCUCAUUCCCGUUCUUAGUGAGAUGGGUUUACUUGAUGCAAAGUAUGAGCAUUGCAGACUCUGGCGAGCUGCUGAAGGUCGACGAGGAGGGCGCCGCCGCCACUGUCAUCAGGCUGGUCCACAUCCACGCGCUGCUCGGCGUCACCAGGUCACCGGCACAACUCCGCACGCCCAGGCCGUUCAACAUUUUCUUUCGCUUUUGGUGCGUCACAUUUAGAGUCUUUCUUUCCCAUUUUACCGUGUUUGCAUGGUAAGAUGUUCUGUUAGAUUUUAAGGUUCAUAGCCUUGGCUCCAAAGCUUCAAGCUUUUGCAUAAUAGUGUUGUUCAGUGGGAUGCAGAAUUUUUGUUUGUCUGAUCGGCUAUCUUUGGUGCUGAUUUACUACAAUAAAGAUGUUGUCUGUAUAAAUAUUACUAACUGUUGAUACUUUGCAUCAGUGAUUUCAUUUCUGUUGGCCCUCCUUAA